rnacentral:rRNA from 1 species
UACGGAGGGUGCGAGCGUUGUCCGGAAUCACUGGGCGUAAAGGGCGCGUAGGCGGCAUGCCAAGCGUGUGGUGAAAGCCCGGGGCUCAACCCCGGGUCGGCCGUGCGGACUGCCGGGCUGGAGCACUGUAGAGGCAGGUGGAAUUCCGGGUGUAGCGGUGGAAUGCGUAGAGAUCCGGAAGAACACCGGUGGCGAAGGCGGCCUGCUGGGCAGUAGCUGACGCUGAAGCGCGACAGCGUGGGGAGCAAACAGG